rnacentral:rRNA from 1 species
UUAAGCGACUAAGCGUACACGGUGGAUGCCCUGGCAGUCAGAGGCGAUGAAGGACGUGCUAAUCUGCGAAAAGCGUCGGUAAGGUGAUAUGAACCGUUACAGCCGGCGAUGUCCGAAUGGGGAAACCCAGUGCAAUUCGUUGCACUAUCGUUAACUGAAUACAUAGGUUAACGAGGCGAACCGGGGGAACUGAAACAUCUAAGUACCCCGAGGAAAAGAAAUCAACCGAGAUUCCCCCAGUAGCGGCGAGCGAACGGGGAGCAGCCCAGAGUCUGAAUCAGCUUGUGUGUUAGUGGAACGGUCUGGAAAGUCCGACGGUACAGGGUGAUAGUCCCGUACACCAAAAUGCACAGGUUGUGAACUCGAAGAGUAGGGCGGGACACGUGGUAUCCUGUCUGAAUAUGGGGGGACCAUCCUCCAAGGCUAAAUACUCCUGACUGACCGAUAGUGAACCAGUACCGUGAGGGAAAGGCGAAAAGAACCCCGGCGAGGGGAGUGAAAAAGAACCUGAAACCGUGUACGUACAAGCAGUGGGAGCACCUUCGGGUGUGACUGCGUACCUUUUGUAUAAUGGGUCAGCGACUUAUAUUCUGUAGCAAGGUUAACCGUAUAGGGGAGCCGCAGGGAAACCGAGUCUUAACUGGGCGUUAAGUUGCAGGGUAUAGACCCGAAACCCGGUGAUCUAGCCAUGGGCAGGUUGAAGGUUGGGUAACACUAACUGGAGGACCGAACCGACUAAUGUUGAAAAAUUAGCGGAUGACUUGUGGCUGGGGGUGAAAGGCCAAUCAAACCGGGAGAUAGCUGGUUCUCCCCGAAAGCUAUUUAGGUAGCGCCUCGUGAAUUCAUCUUCGGGGGUAGAGCACUGUUUCGGCUAGGGGGUCAUCCCGACUUACCAACCCGAUGCAAACUACGAAUACCGAAGAAUGUUAUCACGGGAGACACACGGCGGGUGCUAACGUCCGUCGUGAAGAGGGAAACAACCCAGACCGCCAGCUAAGGUCCCAAAGUCAUGGUUAAGUGGGAAACGAUGUGGGAAGGCACAGACAGCCAGGAUGUUGGCUUAGAAGCAGCCAUCAUUUAAAGAAAGCGUAAUAGCUCACUGGUCGAGUCGGCCUGCGCGGAAGAUGUAACGGGGCUAAACCAUGCACCGAAGCUGCGGCAGCGACACUAUGUGUUGUUGGGUAGGGGAGCGUUCUGUAAGCCUGCGAAGGUGUGCUGUGAGGCAUGCUGGAGGUAUCAGAAGUGCGAAUGCUGACAUAAGUAACGAUAAAGCGGGUGAAAAGCCCGCUCGCCGGAAGACCAAGGGUUCCUGUCCAACGUUAAUCGGGGCAGGGUGAGUCGACCCCUAAGGCGAGGCCGAAAGGCGUAGUCGAUGGGAAACAGGUUAAUAUUCCUGUACUUGGUGUUACUGCGAAGGGGGGACGGAGAAGGCUAUGUUAGCCGGGCGACGGUUGUCCCGGUUUAAGCAUGUAGGCUGGUUAUCCAGGCAAAUCCGGAUAAUCAAGGCUGAGGUGUGAUGACGAGGCACUACGGUGCUGAAGUAACAAAUGCCCUGCUUCCAGGAAAAGCCUCUAAGCAUCAGGUAACAUCAAAUCGUACCCCAAACCGACACAGGUGGUCAGGUAGAGAAUACCAAGGCGCUUGAGAGAACUCGGGUGAAGGAACUAGGCAAAAUGGUGCCGUAACUUCGGGAGAAGGCACGCUGGUGUGUAGGUGAAGUCCCUGCGGAUGGAGCUGAGACCAGUCGAAGAUACCAGCUGGCUGCAACUGUUUAUUAAAAACACAGCACUGUGCAAACACGAAAGUGGACGUAUACGGUGUGACGCCUGCCCGGUGCCGGAAGGUUAAUUGAUGGGGUUAUCCGUAAGGAGAAGCUCUUGAUCGAAGCCCCGGUAAACGGCGGCCGUAACUAUAACGGUCCUAAGGUAGCGAAAUUCCUUGUCGGGUAAGUUCCGACCUGCACGAAUGGCGUAAUGAUGGCCAGGCUGUCUCCACCCGAGACUCAGUGAAAUUGAACUCGCUGUGAAGAUGCAGUGUACCCGCGGCAAGACGGAAAGACCCCGUGAACCUUUACUAUAGCUUGACACUGAACAUUGAGCCUUGAUGUGUAGGAUAGGUGGGAGGCUUUGAAGCGUGGACGCCAGUCUGCGUGGAGCCAACCUUGAAAUACCACCCUUUAAUGUUUGAUGUUCUAACGUUGGCCCCUUAUCGGGGUUGCGGACAGUGUCUGGUGGGUAGUUUGACUGGGGCGGUCUCCUCCCAAAGCGUAACGGAGGAGCACGAAGGUUAGCUAAUCCUGGUCGGACAUCAGGAGGUUAGUGCAAUGGCAUAAGCUAGCUUGACUGCGAGCGUGACGGCGCGAGCAGGUGCGAAAGCAGGUCAUAGUGAUCCGGUGGUUCUGAAUGGAAGGGCCAUCGCUCAACGGAUAAAAGGUACUCCGGGGAUAACAGGCUGAUACCGCCCAAGAGUUCAUAUCGACGGCGGUGUUUGGCACCUCGAUGUCGGCUCAUCACAUCCUGGGGCUGAAGUAGGUCCCAAGGGUAUGGCUGUUCGCCAUUUAAAGUGGUACGCGAGCUGGGUUUAGAACGUCGUGAGACAGUUCGGUCCCUAUCUGCCGUGGGCGCUGGAGAAUUGAGGGGGGCUGCUCCUAGUACGAGAGGACCGGAGUGGACGCAUCACUGGUGUUCGGGUUGUCAUGCCAAUGGCACUGCCCGGUAGCUAAAUGCGGAAGAGAUAAGUGCUGAAAGCAUCUAAGCACGAAACUUGCCCCGAGAUGAGUUCUCCCUGAGACUUUAAGUCUCCUGAAGGAACGUUGAAGACGACGACGUUGAUAGGCCGGGUGUGUAAGCGCAGCGAUGCGUUGAGCUAACCGGUACUAAUGAACCGUGAGGCUUAACCUU